rnacentral:rRNA from 1 species
CCCAAUGUGGAAUUCGCCCUUAGUUGAUCCUGGCUCAGGAUGAACGCUGGCGGUCUGCCUAACACAUGCAAGUCGAACGGGAACCUUCGGGUUCUAGUGGCGGACGGGUGAGUAACACGUGAGAAUCUGCCUCCAGGACGGGGAUAACAGAGGGAAACCUCUGCUAAUACCCGAUGUGCCGAAAGGUGAAAGUAAUUCGCCUGAAGAUGAGCUCGCGUCCGAUUAGCUAGUUGGUGGGGUAAGAGCCUACCAAGGCGGCGAUCGGUAGCUGGUCUGAGAGGAUGAGCAGCCACACUGGGACUGAGACACGGCCCAGACUCCUACGGGAGGCAGCAGUGGGGAAUUUUCCGCAAUGGGCGAAAGCCUGACGGAGCAAGACCGCGUGGGGGAAGAAGGCUCUUGGGUUGUCAACCCCUUUUCUCAGGGAAGAAGUUCUGACGGUACCUGAGGAAUAAGCAUCGGCUAACUCCGUGCCAGCAGCCGCGGUAAGACGGAGGAUGCAAGCGUUAUCCGGAAUUAUUGGGCGUAAAGCGUCCGUAGGUGGCUUUUCAAGUCGGCGGUCAAAGACCGGGGCUUAACUCCGGAAAGGCCCGUGGAAACUGAAAGGCUAGAGAAAGGUAGGGGUAGGGGGAAUUCCCGGUGUAGCGGUGAAAUGCGUAGAGAUCGGGAAGAACACCGGUGGCGAAAGCGCCCUACUGGACCUUAUCUGACACUGAGGGACGAAAGCUAGGGGAGCGAAAGGGAUUAGAUACCCCUGUAGUCCUAGCCGUAAACGAUGGAUACUAGGUGUGGCUCGUAUCGACCCGAGCCGUGCCGGAGCUAACGCGUUAAGUAUCCCGCCUGGGGAGUACGCACGCAAGUGUGAAACUCAAAGGAAUUGACGGGGGCCCGCACAAGCGGUGGAGUAUGUGGUUUAAUUCGAUGCAACGCGAAGAACCUUACCAGGGCUUGACAUGUGGCGAACCCCGGGGAAACCUGGGGGUGCCUUCGGGAGCGCCGACACAGGUGGUGCAUGGCUGUCGUCAGCUCGUGUCGUGAGAUGUUGGGUUAAGUCCCGCAACGAGCGCAACCCUCGUCCUUAGUUGCCAUCAUUAAGUUGGGCACUUUAGGGAGACUGCCGGUGACAAACCGGAGGAAGGUGGGGAUGACGUCAAGUCAUCAUGCCCCUUACGUCCUGGGCUACACACGUACUACAAUGGGUAGGACAGAGGGCAGCAAGUACGCGAGUGCAAGCUAAUCCCUUAAACCUAUCCUCAGUUCAGAUUGAAGCUUGCAACUCAGCUUCAUGAAGGAGGAAUCGCUAGUAAUCGCAGGUCAGCAUACUGCGGUGAAUACGUUCCCGGGCCUUGUACACACCGCCCGUCACACCAUGGAAGUUGGCCAUGCCCGAAGUCAUUACCCUAACCGCAAGGAGGGGGAUGCCGAAGGCAGGGCUGAUGACUGGGGUGAAGUCGUAACAAGGUAGCCGUACCGGAAGGUGUGGCUGGAUCACCUCCUUAACAGGGAGACCCACUUUCGUUGUUCAGCGACAUCUCAACAAGUAUAGUCGCGGGAACGAAAGACAAUCCCAGGUCGGUCGAGUUCAGGAAAUUAAUCAGGCUUUCAAACUAUGAUUCGGUUCGGUAAAUGGGCUAUUAGCUCAGGUGGUUAGAGCGCACCCCUGAUAAGGGUGAGGUCCCUGGUUCGAGUCCAGGAUGGCCCACCUAAACCAACCAAUUCACAAGAGCCAGUCGGACUUGAGUGCGCUCGAGUCCGCCAGCCUUGUGACCUGAAAUAAGGGGGUAUAGCUCAGUUGGUAGAGCGCUGCCUUUGCAAGGCAGAUGUCAGCGGUUCGAGUCCGCUUACCUCCACCAAAACCGCCAAACGGAUAAAGAACUCAGCAACUUUCGGUGCCCAGGCAUUGGAAAGCCUGCUGGAUUCACUGUCCAGCCAGAACCUUGAAAACUGCAUAGAAAUUGAGUCCCUUGGUAAAAACAAUCCCUUGCAAAAGGGGUUGAGAAAAUCAAGUAAAGCUAGGUCAAGCUACAAAGGGCUAACGGUGGAUACCUAGGCACACAGAGAAGGGCGAAUUCCACAGUG